rnacentral:rRNA from 1 species
UGCAAACUGCGAAUACCGGAGAAUGUUAUCACGGGAGACACACGGCGGGUGCUAACGUCCGUCGUGAAGAGGGAAACAACCCAGACCGCCAGCUAAGGUCCCAAAGUCAUGGUUAAGUGGGAAACGAUGUGGGAAGGCCCAGACAGCCAGGAUGUUGGCUUAGAAGCAGCCAUCAUUUAAAGAAAGCGUAAUAGCUCACUGGUCGAGUCGGCCUGCGCGGAAGAUGUAACGGGGCUAAACCAUGCACCGAAGCUGCGGCAGCGACACUAUGUGUUGUUGGGUAGGGGAGCGUUCUGUAAGCCUGUGAAGGUGUGCUGUGAGGCAUGCUGGAGGUAUCAGAAGUGCGAAUGCUGACAUAAGUAACGAUAAAGCGGGUGAAAAGCCCGCUCGCCGGAAGACCAAGGGUUCCUGUCCAACGUUAAUCGGGGCAGGGUGAGUCGACCCCUAAGGCGAGGCCGAAAGGCGUAGUCGAUGGGAAACAGGUUAAUAUUCCUGUACUUGGUGUUACUGCGAAGGGGGGACGGAGAAGGCUAUGUUGGCCGGGCGACGGUUGUCCCGGUUUAAGCGUGUAGGCUGGUUUUCCAGGCAAAUCCGGAAAAUCAAGGCUGAGGCGUGAUGACGAGGCACUACGGUGCUGAAGCAACAAAUGCCCUGCUUCCAGGAAAAGCCUCUAAGCAUCAGGUAACAUCAAAUCGUACCCCAAACCGACACAGGUGGUCAGGUAGAGAAUACCAAGGCGCUUGAGAGAACUCGGGUGAAGGAACUAGGCAAAAUGGUGCCGUAACUUCGGGAGAAGGCACGC